CAACCUACAAAACUUUUUGUAGGCUUGGACUUGGAGGUAUUGCCGACGUUUUCAUAAUGCCGGCUCCUCUCAAAUGCAUUAGCUCGCGUCCUUGCGGAUCGGCUCUUCGGUGUGAUAAUUGUCUACGCCGUGGUCGUGAAGCGUUUUUGACCGGCUUCUAA
rnacentral:misc_RNA from 1 species